rnacentral:tRNA from 1 species
UGGGGUGUGACCAAGCGGUAAGGCAACAUGUUUUGGUCCCGUUAUUCGAUGGUUCAAAUCUUUCCGUCCCAU